UACUUUGUCUCUUCUGUUAUGCUUGAACUCAGGCGCACAGAAGGAGCUCUUCUCAAGAUGCCAGUGGCCAGCGCACAGGGGUCUCUGUUCGACCGUAUCCCCGGCAAGCAAGGAAAACUUGGAAGUAGAUCAUGAUGAGUGUCAUCUGAGACUCGGGCUCAGUGAGAACAUGAUGAGUGUCAUCGUUCUCUCUGACACUGAUGUUGAAGACGACAGGACCUGUCCACCACGUAUCCAGAUUACUAGUGCUCACUCCUCCAACAACAAUAUCUACCGUGUAUGAACGUUGCAUCCUUUAAUUUACCCUGUAUAUGAACAUUUCAUCCUUCAAAUGUGUUGUACUAUCAUCUGGCGGCUAUGAAGACGUAUUGUUCUAUAGUUUUGGUAUCCAUCGAUGAUGUCUUGCUCUGAUUACGUGUGAAUGUUUCUUCUUUUAUUUUGUUAUCCUGAUUGAAUCCACACGCUAAGCCUGGCUUUCUACGAACUUCACCAUUAUUUGCUUGGGCACAUCGUUGGAACCGGCACCCUCGCGCCAAGGCGUGCUGCCGAUUAGAGCUUAGUCUUAGAUAUUUUGUUUGUAAUUUAAAUUUUCUCGGGUGAUUACUCCACCAUUACAAUGUUGUUUAUAGCGGCAAAAUGAUUGUAUAUAUGACCGAUUGAUACAAAUGCUGGUCAUUAUGUCGAACCUUUUCUCUUGCUAUGUGCUUGCAUGUAGCUUUUUGUUUUAGUUAAACAAUUAUGCUUUCUUGUGGGGACGUGAGUAUUUGGUUGGCUAUAUUUAGGACCAGAUCACAAUACAACUAUGAUACAAGAUCCCAUGGUCAUCUAUUAGCUGGUAGCAACGUCAUGUUCUUUUGAGGCUGAAACUUCUUCCUUAGCCUUUAUUUUUUUAAAUGGUUUCAACAGCCAUACAAUUAGGCUGUCGGCUAGAGAAAAGACUAAAAAAUGGCCCCCAUUAGACGUACUAUCAUUCCUCAAAUGGCCAUGUCUCUUCUUCUUUUUACUUUCGAGUCUUUUAACAAUCGAUCCCUUUCUUUAGUAAUCUAUUUUAUUAGUUACUAGACAUACACUUUUUAAACCUUAUUGGGUUUGAAAUUGGUAUUCCAUUAUGUUUUGCCACUUCUGCAAGCAAGAGUGCUUAAAAUAAAUGUCAUGAUGUAACUUCAUAUGAUUUCCAGUUAACAAAUUCCUGCUGUUUUGGCACUCCAAAUAGAUACAAGGAAGUCUACCUGCUAUUCUAACAUUCAGAUAUCAGGCACAUACAUAAUGUAUCAUCUCUCAUGACUCCGAUGGUUUGUAUCUUGGAAGCAAUUCGGGUGUUGGUCUAAGGUUGCCAAGGGGUAUUGCUGAUAGUUGCAGUCUGGUGAUUGUUGUUAUCUUAUAGAAGGGCUUUUGCUUCGCUUCAAGGGUCUUCUAUUUGGAGCACUGGACCAAGAGCACAUGGAGGGAGCUCUUCUCCACCGCGCCGGCAACAGGAACAAGGAAAAUCCAGUCCAUGGUGCCACCAAUGAACAAGGUUGGUUUGCACAAGGUGCUGCAGUUUUCAAGAUAUAUCAUGUGCUCAAAUGUUUGAAGGCUUAUGUUGUGUACUGAAAGAAUCCUCAAAAAAAUUAGAAGGUGUCUCUUUGUGCCUCCUUCCAAUGACGGCGAUGAACAUCUUUUCAAUUUCCAAGAAUGAUGAUGUGCCGCGGGGAUGGACAGUGAAGAUUGUUUGUAGUUUUUCCACUUGAUGUUUGUUCGGUAAGAAAACAACAAUGUAUAUGAUUGAUGAGUUGCAUGCUAUAACCGCUCACUGAUGCUAAUUGGUUCUUACACGUAAAAACAAGCUUCAAAAAUUGUAUCGGUACUUCUAUCGUCAAUGCUCCUCCUCUGUUUUUUCAUCUUCAGUUCAAAGAAUCGUCCUCCAAUCCAAAAAGUAAAUGUUAAUUACUGGUCUUCAUCGCGUGUUGGAUGGAAAGGCCUCUUCUAUCUUAGCAUCGCUUUUCAUAUGCCCUGUUACUUAUAAUGUUGUGUUCCAUUUUUCCAUUCAUGGAUGGCCUCACCUUAUUGUCUAUGA